rnacentral:RNase_P_RNA from 1 species
GAAGCUGACCAGACAGUCGCCGCUUCGUCGUCGUCCUCUUCGGGGGAGACGGGCGGAGGGGAGGAAAGUCCGGGCUCCAUAGGGCAGGGUGCCAGGUAACGCCUGGGGGGAAACCCACGACCAGUGCAACAGAGAGCAAACCGCCGAUGGCCCGCGCAAGCGGGAUCAGGUAAGGGUGAAAGGGUGCGGUAAGAGCGCACCGCGCGGCUGGUAACAGUCCGUGGCACGGUAAACUCCACCCGGAGCAAGGCCAAAUAGGGGUUCAUAAGGUACGGCCCGUACUGAACCCGGGUAGGCUGCUUGAGCCAGUGAGCGAUUGCUGGCCUAGAUGAAUGACUGUCCACGACGCUAUACCCAAAAGAAAGCGGCUUAUCGGUCAGUUUCACCU